UACGAAGGGGGCUAGCGUUGUUCGGAUUUACUGGGCGUAAAGCGCACGUAGGCGGGUCGUUAAGUCAGGGGUGAAAUCCCGGAGCUCAACUCCGGAACUGCCUUUGAUACUGGCGACCUUGAGGCUGGAAGAGGUUAGUGGAAUUCCCAGUGUAGAGGUGAAAUUCGUAGAUAUUGGGAAGAACACCAGUGGCGAAGGCGGCUAACUGGUCCAGAUCUGACGCUGAGGUGCGAAAGCGUGGGGAGCAAAC
rnacentral:rRNA from 1 species